GUCUCUAGAAAUCGAAGUCAUGAAUGCCGAAAAGAACAAACAAAGCUGUUGAUCAGAAUGUUUGAAAAGCAGAUGAUCACAAAUUAAAUAAGAAAAGAAAAAUAUUAAAUCUGGAAUAUUUGUUCUUAGAUUCUUGGCAGAGCACAAACACGCCACGAAAUUACCUUGUCACUGGCAAAUUAGAAGAACAAGCACGCCAAUAAACUUUCGGAGAGUAGCCAAUUCAAUGAUCUAUGCUAAUAAUAAAAUCUCAUUUUUCAGUAUCGUCUAAGCAAAUAAUAUUCUGUAUCAUCUAGCUAGCCCUAAAUUAAUGUGAAAAUAACUGUAGUGUUCCAUCCACUUCUUAUCCAGUUAGCCUUCAACAUCUUGAGCAUUUCUCCUAAAGAUCUUUACCCCUUCUUCACUAAGUGACAGAUUAAAGGUCUUUGGACACAACCCCAGUAAGCUGAUGAAAUUUGGCUCAUCAAUCACAUGGGACUUCGGCCUACAUUUUAUUAUUAGAGUCCUUAGAUUUGGCAAUCCCUUGAGGAAGGAGGCAAUCAAGGGAGUUUGGUCAGUCAGUGAAUCCACCGUCAAUAACAAGCACAAUAGAUUGUUAAAAUAUAUCGGCUCAUUGUUUUGCAUAAAGAACAUCUCAAUAGGCCAAAUGUUGAUUUUUAAGAAUUUGGCAUAUUUCAAGCUUUGAAGAAGCAUAGCAGCACAAUAUAUUAAACUCUGGACAAGCUUGCAACGGCAAGCUAACUCCUUACUCUUGUGCUGACAAGAAGGUUUAAUGUAAAUUGUAGCAUCCACUAGUGACAAGAAACUCUCCAAAUAACUAAAAUCCACAGGAUUUCCUGUCCAUUUUAUAUCCUGGAUAUUGGGAGUGGAAAUUGACAAUGGCAAGUUGUAUAAAUGCUUGUCCGAAGAGUUUAUUGUCAAUGUCUGAAGCUUUUCAGCAACAAUAUGGAUUCGUUUUCCAGGGGCCAAUUUGAAAUUUGGUAUCUGGGGACGACUUAAUUCGCAAUCCGAAACAGUCAAGUCUCCAAGUGAAGAACUGUUGAUUUCAAUAAAGCAAAAGUCUUCAAAAUUGCUGCUGCCGAUCUUAAUAUGCUUAACAGAUGGACAUGAAAUGCAGAAGCAGCAGCCUUUCAGGAAAUUAGACCCACAGAUUCUAAAAUUUUCAAUUGACAAAGAUGCUAUCUUGAAAGUUGAAAGCUUGUCAAAAUCAGACCCUUGGAGAGUGAAAUUCUCUAGAGAUGGGCACCUAAGGUUCAUGAGGGUGGGGACUUUAAAAUGGCACCUGGAAAUACACAGAUUCUUCAAAGAUGAACUGGAAACGCUGAAAUGCCAGUCGACAUAAGCUCCUCCUUCGCAGUUAGACAUUUUUAGCUCUUCAAGAGAUGAACUGGUUAUGUUGAGCUCAACAACCAAAUGAACCUUCUCAAGAAUUAACCUUCUAAGGGAAGUCCAAGAACCAGAAAUCUUUUCUCCAAAAUUUCUCUCAUUGAUUAUCAUAGAAUCUAGCAACAGGUCCUCAACUGAGUCCAUAUUCUCAGUUGAUACCAAAUAAAACUUUCCCAUCUGCAGAUUCAAUUUCAACACACGUAAAGACUUGCACCUAAAAACACACUCAGGCAAUGAAUAGACUCCCCAUCCGAGCCAUUCGUCUAAAUUAACGAGAAUAUCUAGCUCUCCAACAUUACAUUUAGUAGCAAUUUUAACCCAAGCAUCAACAAUAGUUCCUCCAAUAUUAUACCUGGGUUGCUUGCAAAACCAGUGAAUAAGAAAUUUGUCUAUCUCAAUUCCAAGCCUAUCUCGCGUUCUCAUCAUUUUAUCCACAUAAUAACAGAACUGGGUAUACCUUCUCAAACACCCUUUGGAAUCAAAAUUGGCACAGAAGUACAGGUAAGGGCUGUUAAUGCAAAGUUGUCUAAACCUUCUCGAUACCAAGCUAAGAAUAGCAGAUUCAUUAGGCCGGAGGAAUGAGAAUAUGCGAAAGAUGACUGAUUCUGGAAGAACACUCAUCCUAUCACGUCUACAGGCAAGAGUAAGUGUGUCCUGAGAGCUGAUCAGUGCCAUGGCUUUAGGUGCACUUUCCAUGCCUGAAGCGGUGCUGUGGCUAAUCUGCAACGAUGGUAUUUAGGGUUUUCAGCGAGUCGAAGGCUCGUUACUUGGUGGGCAUGGGAUCAACGUUUCCACAGUAGUUCUCAGUUUGAUUGUAUUCUAUCACCUGGAAGACUUCCUGAUGAAG
rnacentral:misc_RNA from 1 species